rnacentral:misc_RNA from 1 species
UGAUGUAUUUUUAGAUCAUUCUACUUAUGCAGAUCCUCCAUCAAGAUUUGAGGCAGGAACUCCUGCAAUUGGAGAAGCAAUUGGGCUAGGAGCAGCAAUUGAUUAUUUGUCAGGAAUUGGCAUGCAAAAGAUUCAUGACUAUGAGAUCGAGUUGGCUAAUUAUUUAUAUGAAAGCCUCUGCACUGUCCCCAAUGUUCAUAUCUAUGGACCAAAAUCUUCAGAAACUGUUCACCGUGCUGCUCUCUGUUCUUUCAAUGUUGAGAAUAUUCACCCCACAGAUAUUGCAACCUUUCUGGACCAACAGCAUGGAGUGGCUAUCAGAUCAGGUCACCACUGUGCCCAACCUCUUCAUCGGCAUUUAGGAGUAAAUGCAAGUGCACGUGCUAGUCUCUAUUUCUACAAUACUAAAGAGGAUGUUGAUGCUUUCAUACAGGCACUCAAUGACACUAUUAGCUUCUUCAAUUCUUUCAAGUAGAGUAACCUUUUAUUCUCCUCCCACAGGUACUAAUACAGGAUAUUGUGCAACUUCACACAACUUUUCUUUUUGUUUCUUCUGUCGUGUUAAAGAUCUCUCGUCUUUCUUUCUGCCUUUUGAUGAGUGUUGUACAAUAACACAUAUUUGUAAAUCAAUUAUUUAAAGCCACUGCUAGGUUGUACUUUAUUUUAGAUUUAAUAAAGCGUCUGGAGAUGGUCCGGGGUUUUCCUUCCUUCCCACCUGGACACUGCAUUUAUAUUUAAAAAAAAAAAAAAGA